rnacentral:rRNA from 1 species
UACGUAGGGUGCAAGCGUUGUCCGGAAUUAUUGGGCGUAAAGAGCUCGUAGGCGGUUUGUCGCGUCUGCUGUGAAAACUCAGGGCUUAACUCUGAGCUUGCAGUGGGUACGGGCAGACUAGAGUGCGGUAGGGGAGACUGGAAUUCCUGGUGUAGCGGUGAAAUGCGCAGAUAUCAGGAGGAACACCGGUGGCGAAGGCGGGUCUCUGGGCCGUAACUGACGCUGAGGAGCGAAAGCAUGGGGAGCGAUCCGG